GUGGAGGAAAGGGGGGGGAUCGCAAGACCUCUCGCUCAAGGGGCGGCCGAUGCCAGAUUAGCUAGUUGGUGGGGUAAAGGCCUACCAAGCCGACGAUCUGUAUCUGGUCUGAGAGGACGACCAGCCACACUGGGACUGAGACACGGCCCAGACUCCUACGGGAGGCAGCAGUGGGGAAUUUUGGACAAUGGGCGCAAGCCUGAUCCAGCAAUGCCGCGUGUGUGAAGAAGGCCUUCGGGUUGUAAAGCACUUUUGUCCGGAAAGAAAACUUCUGUCCUAAUACGGCGGGGGGAUGACGGUACCGGAAGAAUAAGCACCGG
rnacentral:rRNA from 1 species